UGCUGCUGAACCGAGGCCAGAUGGCACA
rnacentral:piRNA from 1 species